AUUGAACGCUGGCGGCAGGCUUAACACAUGCAAGUCGAGCGGAGAUGAGGUGCUUGCACCUUAUCUUAGCGGCGGACGGGUGAGUAAUGCUUAGGAAUCUGCCUAUUAGUGGGGGACAACAUUCCGAAAGGAAUGCUAAUACCGCAUACGUCCUACGGGAGAAAGCAGGGGAUCUUCGGACCUUGCGCUAAUAGAUGAGCCUAAGUCGGAUUAGCUAGUUGGUGUGGUAAAGGCCUACCAAGGCGACGAGCUGUAGCGGGUCUGAGAGGAUGAUCCGCCACACUGGGACUGAGGCACGGCCCAGACUCCUACGGGAGGCAGCAGUGGGGAAUAUUGGACAAUGGGGGGAACCCUGAUCCAGCCAUGCCGCGUGUGUGAAGAAGGCCUUAUGGUUGUAAAGCACUUUAGGCGAGGAGGAGGCUACUGAGACUAAUACUCUUGGAUAGUGGACGUUACUCGCAGAAUAAGCACCGGCUAACUCUGUGCCAGCCGCCGCCGUAACAC
rnacentral:rRNA from 1 species